ACGUAGGGUGCGAGCGUUAAUCGGAAUUACUGGGCGUAAAGCGUGCGCAGGCGUCCUUUUCCUCCCUCUUUUCCCUCCCCUUUCUCCCCCUUUUCCCUUCCUUUGUGACUGCAAGGCUAGAGUGCGUCAGAGGGAGGUGGAAUUCCGCGUGUAGCAGUGAAAUGCGUAGAGAUGCGGAGGAGCACCGAUGGCGAAGGCAGCCUCCUGGGAUGACACUGACGCUCAUGCACGAAAGCGUGGGGAGCAAACAG
rnacentral:rRNA from 1 species